GCAGGAAUUGAGAAGUUAAGAAACAGUUGAUCCACACAGACUGGUAUGCUAAGAAAAUUUUCAUAGUCAAUCUCAUGAAGAUCAAUUUAGAUAAAAUCUCCUUCAGAGACUAAUGAGCAGGUCCCUAUCAGUAAAAUCUGAAGAUCAACAAUGGGAUAUCCAAAUCCAAAAACAAAACAACCCCCCAUUGGUUUUUUCUUCAAAUAUUUGAUUGAAGUAUCCUAUCUGCAAUAAAACUCUCAGUGUCUCUAAAUGACCUGAUGUUAUUAACUGUCUUUCAUGCUUGACCAUUACUAUCACUUAUACAUCAAGCAAACUUCACAAACAGAAGGACUAUAACAACAACAAUAAAUAAUAAGAAUGGAGAAUAAACAGCUUGUACUUUUGUGUUAUUCUUAUGCAAAUAAAAGGGGUAAGGUCUUGAGUUUGACUCCCGCCUUUGUCAAUUCAUUGCUAAUUUCAACAAAAAAUGAAAAGAAGGAAAUGGCAGCUGAUUCACUUGAUUCAUGCAAAUUUUUAGCAAUCAACAAUAAGAAAAUCUGGAUAUUUCAAAUGAUCACUUCAUGUAAUAAUAAUACUUUACAAGAAGUAUAGAAAUAAACAGGCUACCAAAAAAUGACCAAUAACCAUAUGAAGCAAGUUGUUGAAGUCUUAGCCAAACUCACAGGAUACAAGUGACAAUUCAUUGAGAGUGAAAUCCACUGUGAACCAUCCUCGGGUAGGAAUUCCAUUAACUAGGUACAACUUAUCCUUAUUUUGCAUAACUUGUGCAAUGCUAGUAGAAUUGUCAAGCCUGAGAUCAGGGGCACAAAUCCCCACACUAUCUUUAGUUAACUGCACAUCACACCAUAGGACAACACCCGGCAAACUUGUAAGUGUUGCAAACUGGAAAGCAUCUGAGCUAGAAUCAGGAAAUAAUCCUGAAAACCCGCCACGUGCUAUGACUAAAGGGGGAUUUCCUGCAGAAUGAAAUUAAUUAGUGAGCUUUUUUCAUUAUAAGGUCGAUUGACUCUACUCAAAUGUGUUAUAGGGUCAUAUUUUUAUCCAUGCAAAUUUACUGCAACACAGAUUGCAAGUUCACUAACCAAAAAUUGUUAUUGCAACACAAAUUACAUCAAAUUAUUUUGUGAGCAUAUAAGAAUUAGUUAAGUUGCAAGUUCAACAUUUUUUGGGUAUUCAUAAUAGAAAUAUUUUGGAAAGCACCAAGAAUCUUAUGAGUAGCCAUUUUUCUUGAAAGAAUUUUAUUGACCAACAUUCUUUUUUGUCAAUUUUCUCAACAAACUCAGAUUUAUAGAAACCUCCGGUUUUUGGAAAGCCAGGUUCAAGCAAAUUAACUAUCACAUAAAACAAUUGACUUAUCAGAACUUAGAGUGUGGGGAAAUGUAAAAAGAAAAAUGAAAAACCACCCACAACACCAAUAUCCAAAAGCCUGUAAUUCAUGAAAAAGAAAUGCAUGCACUUUUUUUUUUGUGUAUAAUGAACUGAACUGGUAGGAAUUUCAUAUAAAUUGAAGGUUUUCCAUAAAUGACAUGAUGUGAUUUCUCCAAGAAAAGAAAGAAAUUCAAGAAUUCAUUUUGCAUAAGCCCAUGAUGAGAUCAAAAUCAGCUUUCGAAAAAGAAAUCAAUUUUAAUCUUUGAAUUUAAAGUAAUCUUCAAGGCCCAAUACAAACAAGUUAUCUUAUUCUAGAAAUAGUAACCAUGUUGUUCCUUGCUAUUUUCUUAACUAAAGCUUAUUUAAAACGGUGUUUAACGAUCUAAGAUACCAUAAAUAAAAUUAUCACAAAUUCUACUAAUUACUCAUUUAUCAUAAAUCAAAUGUAAAAAAAAAAAAAAAGUAAAAUAUUGCAUCUCUUAUAUAUUUUCAAUAUUUAUUUAAGGCCAAAUCUUCAAAGACGGAAAGCAAACUCCCUACAAAUGCAACUAGCUCCUAAGCUGUAAUUCUAAAAUAGAAAAUCGAGCAUCACAUGCAUUUUCCUAGCAAACAAACACAAAAUCUAGAGGGAGAGAGAAAUCUGAGUGCGUGGUAGUGAGAGAAAAGCAAAGACAGACCGGUGAGUGUUUGCCAGGUAGUAGCAGAUCCCUGAGCAGAGACAACAACCACCAAUGACUGAAGUAGUAGUACAGCUAGUAGAGGAGUGAAGAACGAGCGUAAGUUACACAUUGCCGGAAAAUCUAGCCGGCGACUUGUUGGAGGAGCUUAAGCAAAACUCCGGCCAAUAUAUAUAUAUAUAGACAGAGACACCGACCAUUAAUCUUACUAAAACAAAUAUAUCAGAUAAUAUGUGGUAAAUUAACAAUUGAGUUGGACUAGAGAUCCCUAUCUGCCCACUCAGUGAUGGAAUCGGGAUGGCUCGAGCCACUGAGUAAAAGGUGACAAGUGCUGGUUGGAAGACAGCUAGAAUGGCGUCCACACCAUGAGCACAAACAAUCCGGCAACAGUCCACUUGUCAUGAUAUGAUUGGUUCUCCUAUUUUAGGAGAAGGUGACUUGUCAGCACGCAACGAGAAAACAAGAAGACAUCCACAAACGACAGAAGAUAUUGGAAAAAGAUGAUGGUGAACCAAUUGGCAACAAUAGUUUACAUUUAGGAGUCAAUAAAUAGACUUAUCAUUUUGACAUGACUAUUUUAAUAAUGACCCGUUGUUUUUUUAUAAUAAUUAUAUAUUUAUUUACUAAUUCUUUGUUUUAUAUAUAUUGUGGUUUUCUUGGGUUUUUAAUGGAAUAUAUAUAUAUAUAUAUAUAUAUAUAAACUAAACCUAGAGAUCUUUUCAUUAUACACGCAUGCAUUGUGCAUCCUUUUACAAAUUAUUAUUAAUUAAAUAAGUGAUCUUGUUUUUUUCAUUUUAAUCUCUAAUUUGUUUUUUUUGUACUGAAUCUUUUUCUAGCAAAGUUGAUAGUCAAUUGUUUCAAAAUGGUUAACAAAAGGCAAAAUUAAAGGAUAAAAGACUAAAGGGAAAAUAAAUGUUGUUUCUAUUGAUCUUUAAGUAAUACAUUUAUGAUUUUAUAUAUGUUUUGCCGAUAAUAAUAAUAUCAAAAUUAUACUAAUAAUAUGCUUGGUUGAGAAUAACUUUAAACUUGUUUUAUAUGAAGAAUAUCAACAAGCAUGGAUCAUGUCCAAGAAGAAAGCAAAACGAAGUAUUUAUUUUAGUGCUCAUGAUGUAAUCAUAUUAUUCGAUAGUUUCACCUACAUUUAACUAGUGUUUUGCCUAUGUUUUAUGUAUAAAAUGCCUUGAUAUUCUUUGUUUUAUGUUUUGAAGGCACCUUUAGAUGAAAGAUGCAAAAAGGAGUAAAUUGGAGGUAAUUGACAGAUUUGACCCUCAGUCGAUGUUUUGUGCAGAGCGUGAGUUCUAGAAGUCGAAAUGAAGUGAUUCUAGUGGCAUUAGAAAGAUAACAUCCAUACCUUUCUGGAAAUAUAAGUCAAGAAAAAUAAAAAUACAAAGAGCAUGGAAAUCACAUCCUUCAAAGUCAAAACUCGCAUUCUGCCAGUGUUGACCUUUGUCCAUUAAAAAUUCAAUAUCUGGAGCUACAGACAUCCAAUUGAUGCAAACUCAAUUGUGUUGGAUUCCUGACUCAAAUUCGUACAAACGCUCCAAAUUUCAGCCAAAAAAAAUGUCAUAUGAGGGAGAUAUGAUUUUUCAAAGAUGACAAUUGAAUUCUGCCAGCAAACAGGUUUCAUGAAGAAACGAAUCCAAAUUACAUCCCGAAGCAUCCAAACCGACAUCCAAGUUUUAAUUUCAGCAAUUUAGCUCCUCUAGUAAAUCAAUCCAGAAGGUCAAGGAAGGCAGCCACCAACCUCAAGCCACCAACCUCAAAUCACCAACCACAAACCAGCUGCCAACCACCAGCCACCAGCCGUCAGCCGCCUUCACACUACCACCAUCUAUCGAUGUUCACACUUGAACUUUGAUUCUUCUUACUUACAUUUUGUGUAUAAAUAGGCAGCUAAGUUUAUGCUAUGAAGAGAGCCAAUAGGGAAGGAAAGAGAGCCAAGAGAGGGAGAGGGAGUGCAGUGGAAUAAAAGAAAGAGGGGUGGCAGCCAUAAGAGAAGAAACACAAACUCUCCCCUCUACAAAUCAGAAAUCAUGUAUUCUUUCAUCUUUAGGAGUAGUUGUUCAAUAGAUAUGCAAGGCUAAGCUCGUUUUCUUGGUUGCAAGGACGCAAACACCUUCAGAUUUCAAGAACAAUGAGAUUUAUUCUUCCAUUUAUUUUCAGUUUGUAUUAUGAAUGAGUAUGUUUGUUUUCCUAUGCAUAUUUCCUGUGAUUGUUUAUCUUAAUUGCUAGAGCGGACUCUAAGUUAUUAUUGUGAACAAUUUAUUGCUAAGUUUGAUAUCAAAACCGGAGUUGUGGUAUAUAAACUUGUGAAGCAACUAAGCUUGAUAAUUGUAGCGGAACUACGUUAUUAAACUUAGGGAGAACAUUCGAUCAAAUGCAACACAAACUGACAACUUGGUUGUUAAGAUUAAUGACUUUAUCUAGAUCUUAAGGCUGCCAUUGGAUUAAAUCAUUAGUGCGGACACUGUGAUUGUUUGUUGGUUAGGGUUAAUUAUACAGCGGAUCUGUUAAUUAACCAACGUUAAGAAAAGAUAAAAAUUCAGAAUAUAAACUGGAGUUUCGUUUCAAGGAUCGGUUGUGAUUUCUGUUGGUGGAUGUGUGCUUGCGACCAAGGUUUGUUUUCUUGAUAUAUUUCAGUUUCAAUUGAUUUUGUUUAUUAGUGUAAUUUCUACCAUAGUUUAGAUCAUUGUAAAUCAAACCCCCCCAAUUACAUAACGUAUAGCAUAAAAAUCUGAACUAAACCUUCCUCGUGGGAUCGACCCCUUGCUUGCUCUAUACUAUCUUGUGUGUUUUAAGUUAGGGUAAUUAAUUUGUGCGACCGCGACAUCGCAACAGCUCAUGUGUAAAUCUUUAAAUACUACUUGAAAGCAGUAAUUAAAAUGAAUUCACACAUUUCACUUCACAUAUAUUUUAAAAGGAUUGAUAAAGCGGUUCUAAGAAUUCAUCAAGUUUAAAACUAUCAAAACUAGAAUUAUACAUGAACCAGUUGAUCAUUUGAUGAUACCAAAUGAACCGGUCGACUGCUUGCUCAUCAGGGAUGAACACCUAGAAAUUUAUAGAAACUGGUCGAUCGCUUCAGCCGUCAGUGGGUCUAACGACUGGUUUCUUUUAGAAACUUAUAAAUAGCUCUCAUUCUUGCAAAACUGUAAGAGAAUUCCGAACAUACAAUAUAUAGAGACUAUUUCAAAAGCAAAACUAGCUAGAAAUCAUCAAUCCUAACAUACUAUAAUGUUAUGCUAAAUUCAACCUUCAUAUUCUAGCACAAGAGUAUAAAUUCUCACACUCACUAUACUUAAACACUUUCAUACUUUCUAAGUGUUAUUUAGUGAGUUAUAGACAUCAUAGUUUUCAAUUGUAUUAUCUACUCUUUAAAAGAGUGUUGUCACAUUUCAAACAAUUGUAAACCUUCAAAAGUAUAGGUGAAAAACUCUUGGUCAUUGGUGAGGUGCAUCUACAAGGUAAAAAAUCUGAAGUUGAUAUUUCUUCAAGUGGUGAAUAAAGGGCUCAACAAGGAUUCAUCAAGGACAUUGUAAUCUCUAACUUGGAUUAGUAAAGAAUAUAGAGUCUAUAAUAAUAUAACACUGUGUCUUGAAGAAUUCAUGUAUGUUGUCUUCAAGGAAACUCAAAAUGAUAAAAUUGUUGAGAUUCUUUAUCACAUUAAUGAAUGUGGUCAACAUUUGAGUCUUAAUGAUAAGACCCCCAUGGAGGCUAACAAUAAAAAAAUAAACAAAGACCAACCAAGCACAAGUAAUCAAUAAGAGAUGGUAAGUAACUCUUUUAUUCCACCAAAAGAGUUAAGGUACAUAAUCUCUUACCUUUUUGAGUUAAUUAUUGACAACCAUUUUGAAGAACAAAGGCUAUAACUUCAUUUACAAAUAUAAAUGGUCAUUUUGUUUUUGUUUCAUAUAUAAAACCUAAAUCAUUUCUUGAAACUGAAAAUGAUGAUAAUUGAAUUUUAGCCAUGCAAGAUGAGUUAAACCAAUUCAAAAGAAAAUUAUGUAUGAGAACUAGUCCUUAGACAUAACAACCAAUUAAUUAUUGGAACUAAAUGGGUUUUUAGGAACAAAGUUGAUGAGCAUGAGACCAUUGUUAGAAAUAAAGCUAGACUAGUUGUCAAAAGUUAUAAUCAAGAAGAAGAUAUUGAUUAUAAAGAAACCUUUACACUGAUGGCUCGAUUAAAAUAAAUAAGAAUGCUUUUAGCUUUUUGCAUGCCAUGCUAAUUUUACACUUUUUUAAAUGAAUGUUAAAAGUGCAUUUUCAAAUGGUCUUAUUAUGGAAGAAGUGUAUGUUAAGCAACCUCAAGGUUUUAAAAACUUUCAUUUUCCCGAUCAUGUUUUCAAACUCAAAUAGGCUUUAUAUGGUUUAAAACAAGCAACAUGAGCAUGGUAUGAUAAAUUAAAAUCUUUUCUUAUUGAUAAUAGUUUUAACAUUGGUAAAAUUAACAUCACCCUCUUCACAAAGAGAAAAAGGUAAAGAUAUCUUGUUUGUGUAAAUAUAUGUUGAUGUUACUAUAUUCGAUGCUACUAAGGAAUCUCUUUGUAAGGAAUUUGCAGGAUGUAUGCAAGAUGAAUUUGAAAUGAGCAUGAUGGGAGAAUUAAAUGUUUUUCCUUAAAUUGCAAAUCAAACAAGCAAAGAAUGACAUCUUCAUCAACCGAAGCAAGUGUAUCAAAGAUCUACUAAAAGAUUUGGGAUGAAACAUGUCAAAGAAGUUGACACACCUAUAAGAACAUCAACCAAGCUUGAUAUGGAUGAAAAUGAUAAGAAUAUAGACAUCACCAAAUAUUUAGGUAUAAUCGGUUUAUUCUUAUAUUUAACUCCAAGUAUACUCGAUAUUAUGUUUUGUGUAUGUCUAUGUGGAAAUUUUCAAACAUGUCCUAAAGAAUUCCAUGUUAGUGCUAUAAAAUGAAUUUCUUUGAUAUUUGCAUGUACAAUUGAUUUAGGGUUGUGGUAUUCGAAAGGAAACGAGUUGAAUUUGAAUCGGUAUUCAGAUGUUGGAUUUAUUGGGUGUAAAGUUGAUAAAAAUAGUACUAAUGAAACUUGUUAUUUUAGGAUCAUCACUAGUAUCUUGGGCUAGUAAAAAACAAAACUCAAUAGCCCUAUCAACAACUGAAGUCGAAUAUAUUAUAGCGGGUAGUUGUUGUGCAUAAAGUUUAUGGAUAAAACAAACCUUAAAAGACUCUGGUCUUAAUUUUGAUAAUAUAUUGUUGGUUAAUUGUGUUUAAUUGUUUAUUUAAAUUAAUCACAAUAUUUGUAAAUAUUAGUUGAACACCUAAUUCAACUCUUUUAGGUGUUAUUAUUGCCUUAAUCUUAGAACAACAAUUUCCAAAAAUAUACGUUACUCCUCCUAUUUUUCACUUUAUCACUUUUUAGCCCUUUUAGUUUUUUAAAAUGCAUUUUAGUCCAAAAUUUUAUUUUUCUUGUUUCUUAGUCUUUGUUUUAGAGUGGAGGGAUAAAUUCGUUAGAUUCCAAUGAUAGAGAGAGAAAAUAUUUGUUGACAUCAAUUUAGAUCACUAAAAAAGUCAAUUUUGAUGUUAAUGGGUUCCAAUCGAUGAGAUGAGUUGUAAUGGGGUGUUAUUUGGCCUUCCUAUUGCUUGAGAUGAUAUAUUUGAGCUCAACAAGGUUUUUGAAUUCUGGUUGAUUUUAGGUUUAUGGACAUGUUUUUAGGUUAUUUGAUCCCAUAAACAAGCUUAACAAGGUCUUUAGGGUAUUUUCUAAGUGUUUUAGGUCACAAAUAGGUUGAAAAAAUAAAUUUUAUGAAAAAAAUACUACUACCCUAAUUUUUCAGCGACUCUCUAUUCGUUGGAUUCUGGAGACGUAGAUGACAUGUCUUUUGCCUCGUUUUAUUUUUUAAAUAGUGAGCAGACGAUGUGUUGUCCACCCUCUAUUAUUAGAAAAAAAAAAAAAGGCUCAACGUGCCAGCCAUGCCUAUGUUUAUGGGCCAGAUGUGUGGCUUGGCCUGCGCACUUGGCUGAAUUGAUAUUUUUUAAAAUGAUAUUUUUUUUAAUGCUUUUUUAGCUCUUUAAAAUUAAAAAAAAAUUUCGUCCUUCGUCAUUUAAGUUUCUCUUUUUGUUAUUUUCAUUAAAAAAAAAAAACCUUUUUGUUUAUCCAACUUUAAAAAAGGCUAUUUUUUCUUUUUUUAGCCCCACACUUCGUGUGACUAAAUAAAGAAUAAUUUAAGAGAUAGAAAGUUAUUAAAUUCAAUAUGAUACAUGACCCAAAUCAUGAGUUUAAUAGGUUGAUUUAAAUUUACUUGGGUCUUUUUUUUUGUCUUUUUUGAAUUGAAUAUUUUUAAUUUUUAAUUUAGUCUUUCAACAUUCAGUUCCUUGGGUAUUGAGCCUUGUUAUUUGUUUUGAUUUGCUUUAGAUGGAUUAUCAUGGUCUUAUGAUUUAGGUUGCAAAUUGAGCUGGUUAAUCUUGAUUAACUCAGGUCGAUCUAAUAUGUUGUUGUUACAAUAUUUGAGAAAAUAAUUAUUCAAUAUAUCAUCAUCUCAAUAUUAAAAAAAUAUAUCAUAAAAUAUGUGUUGGAUUUUGUAUUCAUGAUUAAUUCUUUUUCAGAAAACACAUCAUCAAUCCCUAAAGGUUUUUUUUUUUUUUUUUGCAUUAGAAAAAAAGAUUUAUGGAAAAGUGUGUUUUUAAAAUCUUUCAGUUCAAAAAUAUUGUUAUUGUUAAAUAAAAAUAAUAAUUUCUUUCCCCUCAAGAUUGUGUCGCUCAUCCAAAAUGAUUAAUAUAAUCAUAAUAUUUUUUUAUUUUUAAAAAAUAUUAAAUUGAUAAUAAUUUUAAUGAUUUUAAUAAAAAAAUAAAAAGUUAUUUUAAAGUGUUUUUACAUAUUAAUAAACAUUUUAUACACAAUUAUUAUGCUGCCAUCAACAUUUACAUUAAAAAAUAUAUAACUCUCUUUCACUAUAGUCAAAUAACCCUCGAAGGUUUAUCCUUUUAAUAAAUUAUUGUAUUUGGUAUUAGUUCAUCUUAAAAAAAAUUAUAUGUUUUUUAUACAUAUCAUCAACAAGUUUGGUUAUUUUCUAUUUCCAUAGCCGAUUUUAUCUUAUGACAAUAUUAUAAAGAGAGGUUUAUCAGCUUUUAUUGCAAACUAAAUUCUCUUCUUCUUCUUUUUUUCUAUUGAUACUCAUCUAAAUUUUAGGCUAACAUAUGAAUUUUAAAACGUUUAUUUUUAUUUUAAAUAUAAACAAAAAUAAUGCUAUAUAAUUGAUUAAUUUUUAGAAUUAGAAAAACUAUUUAAUUUAUUAUUAAAAUAAAAACCAAGAGACUAAUUUAUAAUUUAUUGUGUUAUUGAGUUUAUUUGUCUAAAAAUAUGCAAUGUGUAUUUAUGAUAUGUUAAACCGUUUAUUAUUGUGGUAAUUUUUAUUUUUUUAUUUAAUUAUAAAGAAAUUUUUUUUUGAUUAGUCAAAUAAUUUAUAUUUUUAAAUUGAACCCCACAUAUAAUUACAUUUCAAACAUUAAUUUUAUAAAAACUAAAAUAAUUUUUUUAUCUCACAACAAUUUUAACUAAACAGUUUAUAUUUUUAAAAUUACUAAUAAAAUUACUUAUUAAAUUCUUUUUUAAAAAAACUGCAAUUGCAUAAGCUAAACACUACCUAAUCUAACUUGCGUUUUGAAUUUUGUUAUCUUGACGGUGAGAUCAGCUGGCUUAAGGUUUUUAAAUUAUUUGACUGGAUGAUGAGCUGAGAGAGGUUUCUAUUAUCAUUACUUGUUAUUUUAAUGAAAGCUUCGUGUAUUCAAUUCAUGGAAGUCUGUACAAUGACAAUAAUGCCCUGAGGUAAAAGGAUUGGUGAGGGAGUUCCAUUUGUGUUACGGUGAACCAUACUUCUAACCUUCUUUUUUUAUUUUAUUGUAUUAGUUGCGAAUAAGUUCUUUAUUAUAUUUGAUUAUAGGAGUAAUUGACUGAUUUAUUUUUAUACAUUGGAUAGUAUUCUUUGACAUGUUCAUCCUUAUAUAUUUAUUAUUUUCUCCCAUAUAUUGUUUUUUUAUUAUUAUUUGAUAAAAUACCCCUCAAAUUAUAAGAACAUUAAAAAAAAAGGGUGAAACUUAACUAUAAAAAAUUAAAGAAACUUGAAAACUUUAGGAAAAGAACUUACAAAACAUAAUAACAAUAAAAAGAAAAAAGAAAAAAAAUGAAAGUACCUAGUAAAAUCUAAAGGUUAAAAAAUUGAUCUGAUUUUGUAGGACACGAGUUCUAAACAUUUUUCAUUAGUCUCUAUGUUUUUUCUAUAUUUUUAUUAAUUAUUUUAAUUUUUUUGAAAUAUUCAAAGUUUUUGUCUUUCUGAAUUUUUUAAUUUUUUUAGUUUUUUUGUUCUUAGAUUCGGUUAAUUUUUUAAAAAAUUGUAAUUUUUUAUAUCCUUAUAAAUAUAUAAGGAUAUAUGAAUUUUAAGAAAAUUCUCACAUGGAGAAAUAUGUUCAAGGAUCGAUGAAUAUAAUGUCCUUAAAUCAUAUCUCUCUCUUUUUGAAAAUUGAAAUUCACUUGCCAAUAAUUAUUCUUCUAACUUGAAUUUUGAUUUUCAAUUAUAAAAUUUUCUUUCUUUUCUUUAUUUUUUCCUAAGAAUAUAUUUAGAAAGUUUGUUUUCGUGUUAAUAAUUUUAAUGUGUUAAUAUAUAUAUAUAUAUAUAUAUAGACAGAGACACCGACCAUUAAUCUUACUAAAACAAAUAUAUCAAAUAAUAUGUGGUAAAUUACCAAUUGAGUUGGACUAGAGAUCCCUAUCUGCCCACUUAGUGAUGGAAUCAGGAUGACUCGAGCCGCUGAGUAAAAGGUGAUGAGUGUUGGUUGGAAGACAGCUAGAAUGGCGUCGACACCAUGAGCACUAACAAUCUGGCAACAUUCCACUUGUCAUGAUAUGAUUAGGGGGCGCAUUGAGGGAAGCAAAAUGCGUGGAAUGGUUCUCUUAUUUUAAGAGAAGGUGACUUGUCAACACGCAAAGAGAAACAAUAAGACAUACUCGAAUGACAGAAGACAUUGGGAAAAGAUGAUGGUGAACCAAUUUGCAACAAUAAUUUACAUUUAGGAGUCAAUAAAUAUACUUAUCAUUUUGACAUGACUCUUUUAAUAAUGACCCAUGGUUUUUUUAUAAUAAUUAUGUCUCCAAUUUUUAAAUUUAUAUUUAUUUACUAAUUCUUUGUGUAUAUACAUAUUGUGGUUUUCUUCGGUUUUUUAUGGAAUAUAUAUAUCAACAAAAACAAAAAAAGGAACUAAGCCUAGAGGUCAUUUACUGGACACACCUGCAUUGUCCAUCUUUUUACAAAUCAUUAUUGAUUAAAAAAGUGGUCUUUUUUUUAAUUUUAAUCUCUCUUUUUUUACUGAAUCCUUUUCUAGCCAAGUCGAUGGUCAAUUAUUUCAAAAUUGUUAACAAAAACUAAAAUUAAAGGAUAAACGACCAAAGAGAAAAUAGGUGGUUGUUUCUAUUGAUCUUUAGGUAAUAUAUUUAUGAUUUUAUAUAUAUUUUGAUGAUGAUAAUAAUAUCAAAAUUAUAUUAAUAAUAUGCUUAGUUGAGAAUAAGCAUUAAACAUGUAAGAAUACAUCAACAAGCAUGGAUCAAGUCCAAGAAGGAAGCAAAAUGAAUUUUUCAUUUUAGUGCUCAUAUAUAAAUCUUUAUAUCCUACUUGAUAAUACUAACAAAAAUGAAUUCACACACUUCACUUUGCAUACAUUUUAAAAGGAUUAAUAAAACGGUUCUAAGAAUUCAUCAGGUUUAAAACUAUCAAAACUAGAAUUAUGUGUGAACUAGUUGAUCGUUUGGUGAUACCAAAUGUUAUUUAGUGAGUUAUAGACAUCAUAGUUUUCAAUUGUAUCUACUCUUUGAAAGAGUAUUGUUACAUUUCAAACAAUUGUAAACCUUCAAGAGUUUAGGAGAAAAACUAUUAGUCAUUGGUGAGAUGCAUCACCAAGGUAAAAAAUCUUGAAGUUGAGAUUUCUUCAAGUAGUGGAAAAAAAAGGGCUCAAUAAGGAUUCACCAAGGACAUUGUAAUAUCUGGCUUGGAUUAGUUAAUAAUAUAAUACUCAAGACCGGCUUGGUGCAUGAGGUGUGGAUGUGAGUUUGUUGAACCACAUUAAAAAUCGAGUUUGCAAUCUCUCUUCCUUAUCCUUUUACUUUACGCAAUUUAAUUAUAUUGUUGGUUAAUUGUGUUUAAUUGUUUUUUAAUUAAUUGCAAUAUGUGUUAAUAUUAGUGGAACAUCUAAUUCACUCAUUUAGGUGUUAUUGUUACCUUAAUCCUAUAACAAUAAUUGGCAUUAGAGUCUGGUUCUCAUUUAUAAGUUUGCUUAGACUUUGAGUAGAAUUGCAACCAUUAGUUUUAAUGUACAAAAUAAAGGAUCAUCAACCUCUAGGCCACCUUUCUUUGAUGGUAAUGACUAUGCCUAUUGGAAAGCUAUGAUGAUUCUAUAUCUUCAAUCGAUUGAUUAUUGAUUAGUACUUAAAAGUGCAUUUUUAUCAAGGUUUUAUAUCAUCAUUUUGCACUUGAAGUAUCUAUAACUCCUUAACUAAAGCAUGUUUUAUAAUAACAAGUCUGAUACCAUAAGAUACCUUUAAUUUAUGGUAAAUGUUUAUCUUAAAUGCAGGCCUAUCACAUAAAUGAAAGGAUUGAUUGAUGAGUUUAAGUACGGAAAUUGAAAGGACAAAGAGAGGGCCAAACUUAGUAAAGAGAUGUUGGUUCAGUCCAAACUGGAACACUGUUCGGUCAUCGGGUCAUAUCUGGAGCUGUAGAUCUUGGAUUUAUGUCUGCCUUAUAUGGAUGGAAAGCUAAGAAAUAGGCCUAAAACUUUCAUGGGAGUCCAAGAUUUAAAAAGGCUGUUUUCAAGUCCAAAUUGUAGCAACAAUGGAGAAGUCUGAAUCUGUCCUGCAGCCCAGACACUGUUCAAUGUUUAGCCCAUAUCUCGAGUUUUAGAACUCCAAAUGACCUCCAAUUUUUAACCUGGAAAGCUGAGACAAUUUCCUAGAACUUUCAUGAUUUAAGUCUGUUCAAAUUAUGAUGUUAUCAAUUACGUUUUUGGCAGACAAUAAGAUAAGGAUUGUCACCAAGUCAAGAUGUGGCCACCUACUCAACAAUUAGUCAACAAAUCAAUAAUUCUGAAUUUUGGCCUAUAAAAGGAGGUAUUUGCCAUGUAUUUAGGCAUCUUGGUUUUUAGAUCAAGAUCAUGCUCUUGCUCUCUCUUUAUAUUUUGUAAUGCUUAAGUUUUGCUUAUAUUAAUCUCUUACUUAUGCUUUUCAUUUCCUUUCCUUGUUUAUUUAUGUUUCUCUCUUUCAUUAUGUUUAGUUAAGUUUAUCAUGUCAAGGUGAAAAGGUUACACUAAUGGUGUAAGAAUAAGUAUAAUAUAAACUCAACAUGGACCUUAAUAUUUGAUACUAACAUGUUUUAUAUUUGUUAUCUUGUUCACUUUUAAUACUUUGCUUGUUAAAUGGUUAAUCUAGAUUUAUGUUGUAUAACCCUUGGUAGAACAAAUACUUGGCACUUUCAUAGCCCAACCAUAUGGUAUAACCGACACCUGUGCUAUGAAAGGAAUUUGAUUUGUUGUUAACAUAAGUUAUAAUCAUGAAUGCCUGACAACAUUUACAAGUAUUAGCAUUAUUCAAAUAAGAUAACUAAUGUAAUCAUGUUAAUAAUUUAUAAUCCGAUUGGAACCUCCUUUGUGUGUGGUUUCCAGUUGAGUAAUAAAAAGAGUUUAUACUAUACUUGUUUGAAAUACCAUUAGUGGAUCCUCUAACCUUGACAAUUAUUUUAUCAUUGUUUAAUCUUUAUAUCAAUAUCACAUCUCAAAGCUCUCUUUGUUAUUAUUAUUGUUGUUGUUGUUGUUGUUGUUUAUAAUUUAUACAAUUAACCUCCUUGUGGUUCGACCCCGGUCUUGCCGGGUUAUUUAUUACUUCGACACUCCUGCACUUGGGAGAAAACAUCAAUCUUUUGGUCGUGUCAAGUUUUUGGCGCCGUUGCCGGGGAGGUAAAUUCUUGUAAAAUUAUAAUAUUUAUUUUAUUUUCUCUUUUCACCUUUCAUUUUAUCUAACUUUUGUUUUGUUUUGUUUUGUUUCCUUUUCUUUUCUUCUUUUUAUUCUCUUCCUACACGUGCACGAGAGUUUGGUCACGUACAUUAAGUGGUAGACUUUGUAGGGUAUCCUUAUCAUUUUCAGAAAAUAUGGCCGAAGAAGAUAACCAGUCGCUUCAUAACGAGAAUAAUGAGAAUAUUCGUGUUAGAACACUUAGAGACCACAUGAAUCCCACAAGAACAAGUGCACCCUCAUGCAUAGUUUUUCCUCCUGAUGCAUCUCAUUUUAAUUUUAAGCCAGGCAUUAUUCAACUUUUACCUUGUUUUCAUGGCUUAGAUUUAGAAAAUCCAUACUUGCAUUUAAGGGAAUUUGAGGAGGUCUGUAACACCUAUAAUGACUCAAAUUAUAGCAUGAACACCAUCAGGUUAAAGCUUUUUCCUUUUUCAUUAAAAGAUAAAGCUAAAACAUCUACAAAAUUUGAGACCAGGAUCUAUUUGUGCUUGGGAUGAAAUGCAACAAUAAUUUUUAAAGAAAUUUUUUCCAUCUCCCAGAACAAACUCUUUCAAAAAACAAAUCAUCACUUUCACUCAAAAACCAAGAGAAACAUUUUACCAAUGUUGGGAUAGGUAUCGAGACUUGCUUAAUACUUGCCCUCAUCAUGGUUUUGAGACAUGGAGAUUAGUUUCACAUUUUUAUGAAGGGUUAACACCUAGAGAUAGGCAAAUGGUUGAAUUGAUGUGCAAUGAAACUUUUGAGGAUAAAGACCCUAAUGAAGCAAUGGAGUACCUAGACUUGCUAGCUGAAAAUGCUCAAAAUUAGGAUACUACAGGCACUUAUGAGGCACCAAGUAAAACCCAACCUCAUACAUCUAGUGGAGGUAUGUACAACCUUAGGGAAUAUCAUGACCUCCAAGCCAAGUUUACAUCUUUAGCUAGAAAAGUUGAGGCACUAGAAUUAAAAAGGAGUGGUCAACUAAAAUCUGUUCAAGACAUUGUGUGUCAAAUCUGUGAAACUAAUGAACAUUCAACCAAUGACUGUCCAACUUUGCCUUCUUUUAAGGAAUGUCUCCAUGAACAAGCUCAUGCUUUAAACAGUUUCCAAAGGCCCAAUCAUAACCUAUACUCGCAAACAUACAACCCUGGUUGGAGAAAUCACCCAAAUUUCAAUUGGAAGAGUGAUAAUAAUAAUGCACAAACUUCACAGCCACCGUUUCAAGCACACCAUAAUUUUCAAAAUUCUCAUGGAUAUGCACCUCCUUAUGCUCCACCUCCUAGAAGAAAUCUUGAGGAAACAUUGCAUGCAUUCAUUGAAAAGCAAGAGACAAUCAACACUCAACUUGCUCAAAGCAUGACAGAUUUUAAAGAUACUCUUGCAAAAUUGACAUAUGCUCUCAGUUUUCAAGAGAAAAGUAAGUUUCCAUCUCAACCAUAACAAAAUCCAAAGGGGCAAUACAAUGUGAAUGCAAGUAGUUCUGGAAGCCAACACAUGGAUCAAGCCAAAUCAGUCAUCACUCUUCGCAGUGGUAAGGUUAUUGAAAAACCCAUUCUUGAACCUUGUGAGAAAGAUGAUGAGUCAAUCUCUGAGGGUAAGGAAGGGGUUGAAUCUGAACAUUGCAAAAAAAAGACUGAUUCCCCACCAACACUUCCAUUUCCUCAUGCCAUGACCAAACAAAGAAAAGUCAAUCACAACUCUGAAAUCUUUGAAACUUUCAAACAAGUAAGGAUCAAUAUACCUUUGUUGGAUGCUAUUAAACAAGUUCCUUCUUAUGCUAAAUUUUUUAAAGAUCUGUGCACUGUGAAGAGAAAACUGAAUGUGAAAAAGAAAGUCUUUUUAUCCGAACAAGUAAGUGCCAUUCUUCAGAACAAUAAUGCUUCGAAAUAUAAAAACCCUGGUUGUCCUACAAUUUCAUGCUUUAUUGGAGAACAUAAAAUUGAAAGAGCUUUACUUGAUCUUGGAGCUAGUGUGAAUUUACUUCCAUAUUCAGUUUUUUAAAGUCUCAAUCUAGGUGAGUUAAAACCAACUUCUGUAACUCUUUUACUUGCCGAUAGAUCUGUAAAAGUGCCUAGAGGAAUACUUGAAGAUGUGUUAGUACAAGGCGAUAAAUUCAUUUACCCUGUGGAUUUUAUUGUCUUGGAUACACAACCUGUUGAAGCAUGUAAUUCAUUUCCUGUUAUUUUAGGACGUCCGUUUCUUACAACUUCUAAUGCAUUGAUUAAUUGUAGGAAUGGACUGAUGAAGCUAUCAUUUGGAAACAUGACAUUGGAGAUGAACAUUUUCAAUAUUUGCAAGCAACCUGGAGAUGAUAAUGAUUUACAGGAAGUGGACUUUACUGAAAAAUUAGUUCAUGAUCAAUUUCAAACCACUUCUAGUGAAACUGAGAUUGAUGAAUCUGACGAUUUGCAAAUGGUUUAUUUUCAGGAAGAAUCAAAGGAAAAUAGUUGGAGACCGAAAAUUAAGGAAUUGCCACCACGAUCAAUUGAGUCCAUACCUUCAAGUGUUCAACCACCAAAACCUGAUUUGAAGCCCUUACCAUUCAAUCUCAAAUACUCAUUUUUUGGAGAAAAUGAAACUUUUCCGGUAAUAAUCUCUUCCAAACUUAAUGCACUUCAAGAAGGUAAGUUAUUACAAACUCUGAAAAUGCACAAAAAUGCAUUAGGAUGGACCAUAGCUGACAUAAAAGGAAUUAGUCCUUUGAUUUGCACACACAGGAUUUAUUUGGAGGAAAAUGCUAAACCCUCUAGAGAAAUGCAACGAAGGCUUAAUCCUAAUAUGAAAGAAGUAGUGAAAAAUAAAGUCAUUAAGCUUCUAGAUAAUGGAAUCAUUUAUCCUAUUUCUGACAGCAAAUGGGUAAGUCCUACCCAAAUUGUACCCAAGAAGUUUGGAGUCAUUGUGAUAACAAAUGAGAAAAAUGAGUUAAUUCCAACUAGGACUAUUACUGGUUGACGCAUGUGCAUUGACUAUAGGAAACUUAAUUCAAUGAUUAGAAAAGAUCAUUUUCCUUUACCUUUCAUGGAUCAAAUCCUAGAAAGAGUUGCAGGUCAUGAAUUUUAUUGUUUCCUAGAUGGUUAUUCAGGUUAUAACCAAAUUGAAAUUGCAUUGGAAGAUCAAGAGAAGACUACUUUCACAUGUCCAUUUGGUACUUUUACAUAUCGAAGGAUGCCUUUUGGAUUAUGCAAUGCACCAGUCACAUUUCAAAGAUGCAUGCUCAGUAUAUUUAGUGAUAUGGUUGAACGUUUUCUUGAAAUUUUUAUGGAUGAUUUUUCUGUUUUUGGCGAUUCAUUUGAUGAUUCUUUGACUAACUUAGAAAAGGUUUUGAGCAGGUGUGAAGAGAAGAAUCUUGUACUGAAUUGGAAAAAAUAUCACUUUAUGGUAACAAACGGCAUUGUACUUGGUCACAUUGUUUCAUCGAAAGGAAUUGAGGUUGACAAAUCUAAAAUCGAGUUAAUUGCUAACACCAAAAUCUGUUAAAGAUGUUAGAUCAUUCUUAGGACAUGCUGGUUUUUAUAGAAGGUUCAUCAAAGAUUUUAGUGUGAUAUCCAAGCCCUUGAGUAACCUUCUAACAAAGGAUAAUAUUUUUGAAUGGACUAAACAUUGUGAAGAAGCCUUUGUUAAACUGAAAAACUUGCUUACUUCUUCUCCUGUCAUUCAACCUCCUGAUUGGUCAUUACCUUUUGAAAUAAUGUGUGACGCUAGUGAUUAUGUUGUGGGUGCUGUCUUGGGACAAAGAAAAGAUAAGAAACCUUAUGUGAUUUACUAUGCAAGUAAAACUUAAAUAGUGCUCAAAUGAAUUACACCACCACUGAAAAAAGAAUUACUUGCAGUAGUAUUUGCAUGUGAAAAAUUCAGGUCUUAUCUUGUUGGCUCACCUGUUAUUGUUUUUAGUGAUUAUGCAGCAUUGAAAUAUCUUCUUUCUAAGAAAGAUUCUAAAGCUAGAUUGGUUCGGUGGAUUUUGUUACUUCAAGAAUUUGAUAUCACAAUCAAAGACAAGAAAGGCACCGAAAAUUUUGUCGCAUAUCACUUGUCAAGAUUGACAACAGAUUCGAGAUCUGACAUCACACCAAUCAAUGACUACUUUCCCGAUGAAUCUUUAUUUUUUGUCUCUACAAUGCCUUGGUAUGCUAAUAUUGUUAAUUUUCUUGUUUCAGGACAAUUGUCAGCUCAUUGGAGUACCCAAGACAAAAGAAAGUUCUUGAACGAAGUAAAGAACUUUUAUGGGGAUGACCUUUAUUUAUUCAAAUAUUGUCCUGAUCAAAUAUUUCAAAGAUGCAUUCCUGACAAUGAGGUAAGUAGUAUCAUUAAAUUUUGUCAUUUUGAGGCAUGUGGAGGUCAUUUCUCAUCAAGAAAGACCACUGCAAAAAUCUUACAAAGUGGAUUUUACUGGCCCACCAUGUUCAAGGACUCACAUGCAUUCUGCAACACUUGUGAAAAUUGUCAAAAGUUGGGAUCUAUUUCAAAACGUCACAUGAUGCCUUUAAAUCCUAUUCUUGUCAUUGAGAUCUUUGACUGUUGGGGUAUAGAUUUCAUGGGUCCAUUUCCUCCAUCAUUUGGUUUCUUGUACAUAUUAGUCGCAGUAGAUUAUGUUUCAAAAUGGAUAGAGGCAAUUCCAAGUCGAAACAAUGACCACAAAACAGUGAUAAAGUUCUUGAAAGAAAAUAUUUUGAGUCGAUUUGAAAUCCCUCGGGCCAUGAUAAGUGAUGGUGGAACACAUUUUUGCAACAAGUUAUUUGAGUCUUUAAUGAAAAAAUAUGGAAUCACACACAAAGUUGCCACCCUUUAUCACCCUCAGACAAGUGGACAAGUAGACCUUGCUAAUAGGGAGAUCAAACAGAUCUUGGAGAAAACAAUAAACCUUAAUACGAAAGACUGGUCUUUAAGACUUAAUGAUGCACUUUGGGCUUAUCGAACUGCAUAUAAAACAUCAUUAGGUAUGUCACCUUAUAGAUUAGUCUAUGGAAAACCUUGUCACUUGCCUGUGGAACUUGAACAUAAAGCUUGUUGGGCUAUUAAAGCUUUCAAUUCUAACCUUGAUGAUGCUAGUCAGCUGCAAAAAUUAUAAAUAAAUGAGCUUGAGGAAAUAAGAAAUGAUGCAUAUGAGAAUUCAAAAAUUCAUAAAGCAAGAAUCAAAGAGUUUCAUGACAAGAGAAUCUUCAGAAAAACAUUUGAUGUUGGUCAAAAAGUUUUGCUUUAUAAUUCUCGACUCCAUUUAUUUCCUAGAAAGCUAAGAUCAAGAUGGAGCGGUCCAUUUAUUGUGAAACAUGUGUAUCCAUAUGGGGCCUGUGAUAUCGAGAAUCCAAAGAAUGACAAUGUUUUCAAGGUAAAUGGACAUUGUUUGAAAGUUUGUUUUGACAAUUUUUUAGUUGAAAAUGACUCUAUUGAAUUAAGUGAUCCUGUAUAUAAAGAUUGAUUCUUUUUCUCACAUUGUUUUGUGUUUCAUUUUGGUGUGAAUUUUGUUUUGCUAGUCUCUCUCACCCCGGUCAAAUGGCGGAUAACAGUACUCCAUGACUUAAGUCGGUUCUUUCAGUUUCCCAUAAUAACUGAUAUAUGUAUAUAUUUGUGCAAUUCUUUGCUCUUUCUCCCUUCUUUGAAUAUCUUCUCCAACUCUCAUUUGAAAAUGGACACCACUCUUGAAAAAUUGAAAAAGUACUUUCCCGCUCUGCCUUAGAAUGCGAUUACAAAAAUUUACCGUGCUAGGUGUGCAAGAUUGAGGUUGUUAAUGAAUCAUGGAAUUCCUGAAGAUAUUCGUUGGCUGAUUGAAGCAAAGAUCUGAUUAUCAGGUGAGUACUCCAAUUCUUUCAUCUCAUACAUGCCUGGAACAGGUAAAAGCACUUUUGCAAAGAAACGUCGUGCAAAACGACUGAAACUCUACCACCGAUGUGCCAGAUGGACUUGUAAUGCAACAUGUCGUUCUUUAGGAAUGGUAUCUAUAAACCGUGAAGAUAAAAUACAAUUCAUUAAGGAUGGCCUGAGUAAGGGGUCUUUAGAUAAUCUUCUAUUGACUCUUGAGACGCAUCCUGGUGGAGAUGUGCAUCGUGCAAUUCAUGAUUUAUGGCCACAAUUCCAUAAAGAACAUGAUAGACUUAGUCUUGGGAAUCUAACUAUAAAAGACCCUGUUUGCCAGUUUUUAAGAAAACUGGAUGGGAAGCCUAUCCCCGACCCAUAGAGGGCGUUUAAGCUGUUCUUGGACGUAAAACCAAGGGAAGAUGUGAGCCACAAUCACAACUACCUGUACAUACACAUGCUUUUUCAAAAUAAGUAAGUAAAUAAAUAGAGAGAGUGUGUGAGACUCCAGCUAGCCUACAUAUAAGUGGUAUGAUUGUAUUUUUAAUUUCUCAUCUAUAAAAUAUUUUCUUUCUUCCCUUCAUUUCUACUUAACCCAUACAUUCAACUCUUAUUAGGAUGGCAGAGUAAGGAGGAAUUUUAUUGACUCUUGAGACGCAUCUUAGUAAAUAGUUUUAUCAAGGCCUAUCAGAAUACUUCUUGAAAUAUUCAUGUUUACAAACUCUCGCAUUGUUAUCACUUGAUUCUGCUCAUAUACUCAUUUAACAAGUAUUCUUAAACCUUUAUUUUCACACACACACUCUAACAUAUGAUUGUGGGUCACACAUUGGAUUAUUACAUUAUUUAUGUUCUUUUGUUAAAGGUAACAACUAAGGAAAAAGGGAUAGUAUAUAAUUUGAAAAAAAAAACAAAUUGAUAAUAUUGAUGAUAAUAAAAACGUAGAUAAGUUUGGUUUCGUAGCCUCCCUAACCUAAGCAAUUAAGCCCGAAGAGGUGUUUUAACACCUAAUACCCUAAAGUCAACUGACUUGGGAGCUAUUGGUCCAAAACUUGUUACAUGGGUUAAGGAGAAAAGCUUAAGAAAAUCAAACAUUGCAUUAUCUACGUAUUAGUAUCUGCAACUCAAGUUACUAAGCUCGUAGGGGUGUCUCAACACCUAAUGCUCUAAGACCAACUGGUCUAGGAGUCAUUAGCCGAAAGCUCGUUACAUGGGUUAAAGAUGCAUUGUAUUUUAAGUUAUAUGUAUAUAUAUUUAAAAGAAAAAAAAGAGAAAAAAAAAAGAAAAAAAAGAAGAUAAUAAUCUCAACCCAAGAAAGUUAACCUUAAACAUUAGAAUAGAAUAUUAUUUUCUUCCAAUAAAAGCCCCAUCAUCUAUGUUUUCAUACAUUGAGCAUAUAAAAAGGAAGAUUUAUUAAUAUUUUGUUUAAGAGAUAUUGAGCAAAUAUAUAAAUUUAAUGAGAGUUUGUUUAUCUGGAUAGAUUAAUGGAAGUUGAAUGAUGAAUGCCUUGCUUUGUGGAAUUUGCAAAUUGUUUUUCUAUUUUAACGCUUUGAUUACUAGGGACUAGUAAUAAGCUGGUUGGGGGGGUGUGAUUAGUACUUAAAAAUGCAUUUUUAUCAAGGUUUUAUAUCAUCAUUUUGCACUUGAAGUAUCUACAACUCAUUAACUAAAGCAUGUUUUAUAAUAACAAGUCUGAUACCAUAAGAUACCUUUAAUUUAUGGUAAAUGUUUAUCUUAAAUGCAGGCCUAUCACAUAAAUAAAAGGAUUGAUUGAUGAGUUUAAGUACAGAAAUUGAAAGGACAAAGAGAGGGCCAAACUUAGAAAAGAGAUGUUGGUUCAGUCCAAAUUGGAACACUGUUCGGUCAUCGGGUCAUAUCUGAAGCUGUAGAUCUUGGAUUUAGAUCUGCCUUAUAUGGAUGGAAAGCUAAGACAUAGGCCUAAAACUUUCAUAAGUCCAAGAUUUAAAAAGGCUGUUUUCAAGUCCAAAUUGUAGCAACAAUGGAGAAGUCUGAAUCUGUCCUGCAGCCCAGACACUGUUCAGUGUUCAGCCCAUAUCUCGAGUUUUAGAAGUCCAAAUGACCUCUAAUUUUUAGCUUGGAAAUCUGAGACAAUUUCCUAGAACUUUCAUGAUUUAAGUCUGUUCAAAUUAUGACGUUAUCAAUGACCUUUUUGGCAAACAAGAAGAUAAGGAUUGUCACCAAGUCAAGAUGUGGCCAUCCACUCAACAAUUAGUCAACAAAUCAAUAGUUCCGAAUUUUAGCCUAUAAAAGGAGGCAUUUGCCAAGUAUUUAGGCAUCUUGGUUUUUAGAUCAAGAUCAUGCUCUUGCUCUCUCUUUAUAUUUUGUAAUGCUUAAGUUUUGCUUAUAUUAAUCUCUUACUUAUGCUUUUCAUUUCAUUUCCUUGUUUAUUUAUGUUUCUCUCUUUCAUUAUGUUUAGCUAAGUUUAUCAUGUCAAGGUGAAAAGGUUACACUAAUGGUGUAAGAAUAAGUAUAAUAUAAACUCAACAUGGACCUUAAUAUGUGAUACUAACAUGUUUUAUAUUUGUUAUCUUGUUCACUUUUAAUACUUUGCUUGUUAAAUGGUUAAUCUAGAUUUAUUUUGUAUACCUUUGGUACAACAAAUACUUGGCACUUUUAUAGCCCAACCAUAUGGUAUAACCGACACCUGUGCUAUGAAAGGAAUUUGAUUUGUUGUUAACAUAAGUUAUAAUCAUGAAUGCCUGACAACAUUUACAAGUAUUAGCAUUAUUCAAAUAAGAUAACUAAUGUAAUCAUGUUAACAAUUUAUAAUCCGAUUGGAACCUCCUUUGUGUGUGGUUUCCAGUUGAGUAAUAAAAAGAGUUUAUACUAUACUUGUUUGAAAUACCAUUAGUGGAUCCUCUAACCUUGACAAUUAUUUUAUGCUUGUUUAAUCCUUAUAUCAAUAUCACAUCUCAAAGCUCUCUUUGUUAUUGUUGUUGUUGUUAUUGUUGUUGUUGUUGUUGUUUUUUAUAUACAAUUAACCUCCCUGUGGUUCGACCCCGGUCUUGCCGGGUUAUUUAUUGCUUCGACACUCCUGCACUUGGAAGAAGACAUCAAUUUUUUGGUCGUGUCAAUUAUAAAAUAUAAGGAUAGAGAAUAGACCUUUUAAACCUACCAGAACCGAAAAUGGUGUUACAAUUCCUAAGGCUAUGAGUGAGUAUAUGAUGGAAAUGGUGUUACAUUAUCCAUUGCAUGAAAAGUGUUAAAGACUCUUUAUGGUACUCACACACAAGAUCAUAUUCAACAAAUCAAUGGCGAGUUACAGUCCUUGAAUAAAUGUACUUAUUCUUUAAAAGAUUAUUUACACAAAGAAAAAUCUUUGGUUGUCUCUUUAUGGUGCAGGAAAACCAAUGGAUGACGAUGAGUUCAUCAUUUGCAUUUUUCAAGGAUUAGGAUCUGAAUUUGAUCUUAUAGUAGCAACAUUGAAUGCAAGAGAUAUUUUUCCAUCUUUUGAAGGAGUUAUUGGCAAACUCCGUGAAUUUGAAAUUCGACUUCAAGGAGCACGAGCAACUACUUCCAACAUUGGUUUUUAUACAAAUCGUGGCUGAAAAAACUCAAAGCCAUGGGUGAACCCCGGCACUCAAGGCUACAAUAAUCACAAUUUCACUAGAAGAAAUUCCACGGACAGUACUUCAUCAUCACGAGCUAAAAAGACUUGAUUCCCUCACUUUAAUAUAGGCUCAUCUAGAACUCGUCAGAAAUAAUUCUCACAUAAUGGUGGUCGUGGAUGGCAUCACUUGUUUUCAAUGUGGGGGGGCUUAAUCACAAAGCAGCCAGAUGUUUUGCUUCUGAUGAAGAUCAAUAAAAAGCUUUUGCUAAUAUCAAAAUUAGAGAAACUACAGAAGAGAUCUGGUAUUCUGUCACUGGUACAAACCAACUUAUGACCUCUAACACAAAUGAAGUUCAAGGUAUUAACUCUUAUCUUGGCAAUGAUUCUUUCAUGGUUGGUAAUGGUCAUGACUUGCCUAUCACUAGCACUUGACACAUUAUUUUUCUUACCACUAAUUUUAAGUUAAAUGAUGUUCAUGUGGUUCCUGCAAUUAAGAAGAAACUAUCAUAUGUCUCUCAAUUUAUAAGAGAAAUUAAUUGUUAUUUUUUGUUUUAUCCAUGGGGAUUUGUUUUCAAGGACAUGAAGAUGAAGUAGGUAGUCCUUAAGGGCUCCAUAAAGGAUGGUUGUAUCCGAUCAACCUGCAACAACUUUCAACAUCUUCAAUCAGUUUUUUAGCCAAUAAAGUAUCUAGCAACUUAUGGCAUGCAUGACUUGACCAUCCUCAAGCCCGGAUUCUUAUAAAGUUAUGUUUACCAUCUAUAAAUAAACAAAAUGCUUUCUAUGAAGGCUAUGUUUUGGGAAAAUCAACAAAGUUACCAUUUGAAUCUCGUAAAUCCUAUGCUACUUCUUUUCUGUAUACACUUCACACAGAUGUAUGAGGUCCUGCAUCUGUUUCUUCUUAUGAUGGCUAUUAGUUUUACUUAAUCAUUGUUGAUGAAUAUUCUUGAUGUAUAUGGUUCUUUCUUAUAAAUCAUAAAUCUGACGUAGCAACAAUAUUUUCUACAUUCCUCAAGCAAAUGGAAAAACAAUUUGAUGUUUAUGUUAAAAUAACUCAAAGUGAUGAGGGUGGUGAGUUUGUUAAUCAAAGCCUGCAUAAUCUUUUCAAAACUAAUGGUAUCAUUCAUAGAUUCUUAUGUCCAUAAACAUCAGAACAAAAUGAAUUGGCUGAACGUCGUCAAUGGCAUAUUGUGGAAUAUGGAUUAACAUUGUUAUCACAUGCUUCUAUUACGAUACAAUUCUGAAUAGCAGCCUUUUGUACUGUAAUAUUUCUAAUAAAUCGUCUACCUACUUCAGUUCUUGGUUACAACUCACCGCAUAAAGUUAUUUUCAGUUAUGCUUCUGCUUAUAAUUCCCUACAAGUUUUUGGGUGCUCCUGCUACCCAUUACUUGCACAAUUUGGUUGAUCAAAAUUGGACUUUAAAUCCACAUGGUGUGUGUUUCUUGGUUAUUCAAAUAAUCAUAAAGGAUAUCUUUGUCUUGAACCUUAGACAAGUCGCCUCUACAUAUCUCAUCAUGUGAAAUUUAAUGAAUCUCAGUUUCCCUACAGAUGCAUGCAGAAACGUGACACACAUGUUUCUCAGUUAUUUAAAGUCAGAGCACUUCCUCGACUACUCAAGACCAUGACUGAAAAAACAAAUGUCUCAACUCAAUAAAUAAUACAUCAUGUUUCAGCAAAAAAUGUCCAAAGUGUAUGAGUAUCUCAGUCUCCAAUUCCUGAACCAAUUCCUCCAUUCACUGCACUAGAAUUCAAUACUUUAGCACCAGAGGAUUCUCCCAUACUUGCUCCACAACAACAUCAUCAUAUGGUUACACGGGCUCAAAUAGGGAAGCUAAAACCCAAGGUAUUGUUCUCUUCAUAAUAUUCAAUACCUGCUUGUUUUGUUGCUGACCUUAUCACUCAACAACAAGACCUAGCGUACUUCAACAUCUGCAAUGGCAUCAAGCAAUGCAAGUUGAAAUGGAUGCUCUUCACACCAACAACACCUGAAAUUUGGUACCUAGAGAGCCAAACAUGAAUGUUAUCAGUAGUAAAUGGGUGUUCAAAAUCAAAACACGAUCUGAUACCUCUAUUGAAAGGUAUAAAGCUCAACUAGUGACUCGUGGAUUUACACAACAACCAAGCCUAGAUUAUGAUGAAACCUUUAGUCCAGUCAUCAAACCAAGUACUAUUUAGUUAAUCUUUACCAUUGGGCUAUCUCAAAGCUUGUCUAUCAGAUAACUAGAUGUUAGUAAUGCCUUUUUUCAUGGUGACCUACACGAAUAAGUAUAUUUGGCUCAACCCCAGGUUUUGAGGAUUUCUCCCAUCCAGAUCAUGUUUAUCAUCUCCAUAAAGCUUUGUAAGGUUUAAAGCAGCCCCUCGCGUCUAGUACCUAAAAUUCAGUACUUAUAUCCAGCAAAUGAGAUUCAUAUAAUGUCCCUAUGAUCAAUCUUUAUUCUCGCACUCAAGGAUCAGGCAUUCUUCUUUUACUUAUUUAUGUUAAUGACAUUCUUUUAAUAGGAAGUUCCUCUUCACAGAUUGACAAGUUUAUUACACACCUAUCUUUCAUCUUUCAUAUGAAAGAUCUUGGUGAUAUUCAUUACUUCUUAAGUCUUCAAAUCAUUUGCCAUGCAUCCACUGUCACUCAUACAAGGUAUUUACUGUCUCUUCUUCAAACGUUUGGUCUUGAUGGCACCAAACUUGUAAGCACUCCACUAGUAUGGGGGCCUUCUAUGUAUGCUGUUGAUGGUGCUCCCUUAGUUAAUCCUUUCCUUUAUCGCUGUUUGGUUGGCUCAUUAUAAUAUCUCACUCUAACCAGACUCGACAUCUCCUAUGUUGUUCAUCAAGUCUGUCAAUUCAUGCAAACACCCCAUGAUAUUCACCUCAUUGUUGUUAAGAGGAUUUUUCGGUAUCUGAAGGGUACUCUCAAUGUUGGUCUUCACUACGUCUGUACCCCUAUUCAUAAACUUCGUGGUUUUUGUGAUGUCGAUUGGGCUAGUUGCAGGGAUGAUAAACAUUUCAUUACUGGUUUUGCUAUCUUUUUAAGCGAUAAUUUGAUAUCUUAAAGCGCUAAGAAACAAGCUAUUGUGUCUCGAUCGACAACUGAAGCUAAAUACUGUGUCUUAACCUUAACUACAAGUGAGCUUAUUUGGUUUGUGCAUUUACUAAAGAAUAUUGGCUAUUGUGUCCCUCCUUCUACGUUGUAUAGUGACAAUAUUAGUGCCAUUCAUAUGGCCAAGAAUCCAAUGUUCCAUCACCGUAUAAAACACAUCAAAAUUGAUGUUCACUUUGUUCAUGAAUGGGUUGCGUGUGGUGUUCUCUCUUUGGUAUACAUUCCAGGAUCGGAUCAAAUUGCAGAUAUUUUUACCAAAUCCCUUUAUGCUAUAAAAUUUAUUCCAAAUCAUGGCAAGCUCUGUCUCAGUCCAGUCCCGCCUUGAGCUUGAGGGGGGAUGAUGAGAUAUAGAGAUAUGCAGAUGCUGAGAUCCUGCUGAGAUCUCUUUACUGAGAGAUCCUCUACUGGGAUCUCUAUGUCAGGAUCCUCCCUAUUUAUUCACUUCAUGGUCUCCACAAUAUUUGUAAUUCAAUAUGUUUCUAUAAUCUCUGUAGACAAAUUAUAUAUAUAUAUAUAUAUAUAGCAAGAAUCAAUCCUACAUAAAUGUCCAGUAAUGCCUAUUUAUAGGUAAUAACAAUACAUAGAAAUAUAAGUUCACCAUUUCCUAUAAGCAUCAUCUUUUUAUUUUUCAAUAAUAAUGUGCUAUAAAUAAUUGGUAGGUUGAGAGACCUUUUGAGAAGGAGCCCUUAUAGAUUAUGAUGCUAAAAAAUAAGAAACUAUAUUAGAAGACAAGUUAUCCAAUAAGGUAUAAUGAAUAACUAAAGUAUAAAGAUUUCUCACCAAAAGUUUGUUUUGCUCAAUUUUCUAGCUGAUCUACUAGCUAAAUUUUUAGUAAGCCUUCUCUUACCAUCUUUUGUAAAAGGUUCUUCAUCAUAUAAAAGUUUCUUAGCCAUCUUUUUUAAAGAAAGGUUUAAGAUGACAUAUUAUAGCUUUCUUGUACAAUAGAAAAAACCUUAAUUAAUUUCCUAAUAUUAGCAUAAAGUCUCUCACACUAUAGAAUCCAAAAUUAUGUUUUGUUAACUAUGUUACAUUUUUCACUUCCUUUAGCAUUUUGAAAAUUAUUAUCUAGAUUAGAACUAUUAAUGGUAUAUUACAUUAGAAAUGGAACACAUUAUACAAACUUCGAUUGUCUUGCCACGAAAUAGAGGUUAUAGGGCUCAUAAGAACAAUAGUUUCCUUUAUAAUAAAUCUAUCACUAAACUAAAUUGUAGAUCCUUUUAGGUUAGAAUAAUUUUUCACACUACAAUGUUCUCCUCUCCCUUACAAUUUAUACUUUGAUGUUUAAGAAUCAAUAGUCAUCUAGGGCAUGUUCUCAUAGACAUUAAAAUGAUCAUGGAUCGGUUAUUCCUCCUUGUCAUGGAUAGAAAAAUAUCUAGGUAUCUCUUGAAAGGAAAGUUGUGGAAAUGGAUCAUUUUGUCCUCUACAAAUUAAUAGGGAGUCCAAAUUUGACUACACGACACUAGAUUCAUGGAAAUUUAUAGUUUCCCAUGCUUAAAUCCACCAUAAAAUUCAAUAAAAGUUUCCUUUUAUCAUGAAAGGGUGGUUGGUCUUCACCUCUCACUUGGCAUUCCUCUAAUACCAUAUAUAUAUGUGUGUGUGUGUGUGUGUGUGUGUGUGUGUGUGUGUGUGUGAUUUAACAUAAAAGGUCUUAGGAUAAUUUACAUUAUCAAAAAAUAGUAAUAAAUAACCCGACAAGACUAAGGUUGAAUCACAGGGAGGUGAACUAUAUAAAAUUAUAAACAACAAAUGAAAAGGAGUUGAAGAGAACUUUUGAAAUGUGAUAUUGAUGUGAGUAUUAAUCAAAGAUAAAAGCAAUUGUCAAGGUUAGAGGAUCAACUAAUAGUAUUAGAAAUAAGUAUAGUAUAAACUUUUUUUAUUAAUCAACUGGAAACCACACACAAAGAAGGUUCAAAUCAGAUGAUUUAUCCUUAAUAGUUCAUUAUAAAUUUUUAACAUGAUCAUAUUGAUUAUCUUAUUUUAGUAACACCAUACUUUUAAAUAUUGUCAGGAAUUCAUGAUGUUAACUUAUGUUAACAACAAAUCAAGUUCCUUUCAUAGCACAGGUGUCGAUUAUACCAUAUAGUAGGCUAUGAAAGUGUCAAGUAUUUGUUGUACCAAGGGUUGUACAAUACAAAUCUAGAUUAAUUAUUUAACAAGUAAGGUAUUAAGAAUUAGUAAGAUAAAAAGAUAAGACAUGUUAAUAACAAACUUUCUUGGAUAUAAACAUUGAAGUCCAUGUUGAGUUUAUAUUAUAUCUAUUCUAACACCAUUAGUGAAAUCUUUUCACCUUGACAUAAUAAACUUAGCUAAACAUUGUGAAGAAGAGAAAACAUAAAUAAACUAGAUAAGAACAUAGUUAUGAUGAAAAGUAUAAACAAGAGAUUAUUAAAAGCAAAACUUAAACAUUACAAAAAUACAAAGAAAGAAAGCAAGAAGAUGAUCUUGAUCUGAAAACCAAGAGGCCUAAAUGCAUGAAAAAUGCCUCCUUUUAUAGGCCAAAAUUCAAAACUAUUGAUUUGAUGACUAAUUGUUGAGUGGGUGGCCACCUCUUCACUUGGUAACAAUCCUUAUCUUCUUGUCUGCAGAAAACGUCAUUGCUAACAUCAUAAUUUGAACAAAUAGUCUCAUGAAAGUUCUCGAAAAUUGUCUCAGCUUUCCAACAAAACAAGAAUGAGGUCAUGUGGACUUCUAGAACUCGAGAUAUGGGCUGAACACUGAACAAUGUCUGGGCUGCAGGAUAGAUUCUGACUUCUCUGUUGUUGCUAUAAUUUGAACUUGAAAAUGGUCCUUUUGAAUCUUGGACUCUCAUGAAAGUUUUAGGCCUAUGUCUUAGCUUUAUAUCCAUAUAAACCAGACCUAAAUCCAAGUUCUACAACUCUAGUUAUGAUCCAAUAACCGAAUGGUGUUUCAAUUUGAAUUCAACCAACAUCUCUUUUCUAAGCUUAGCCCUCUCUUUGUCUUCUUAAUUUCAGUAGUUAAACUCAUCAAUCAAUCCUUUGAUUUAUGUGAUAGGUCUGCAUUUAAAAUGAAUAUUUACCAUAAAUUAAAUGUAUCUUAUAUUAUCAGACUUGUUAUUAUAAAACAUGCUCUAGUUAAGGAGUUAUUGAUACUUCAAAUGCAAAAUGAUGAUAUAAAACCUUGAUAAAAAUACACUUUUAAGUACUAAUCAACAAUGGUCCUACCAUUAUCCAAGGUCACAACUAUAUUUAACUAGGCCUUAUUUAAUUUAUAAGACCUGGAAAAAAUUAAAUAUCUAUAUACCCAAAAGAGAAAGGAAAAAAAAAAGCCACAUGUUCUAUCUAGAAGGAAAAUUUGGUUCCUUUCUUCUCCUUUUUAAAAAUAACACUAUAUUUAGGAGUACUUACCAAUAAGUCUUCAAAUUGACCUAUAAUAAAUUAUAUGGAUGCACAAAGCUAACCUUUUGAGUAUAGGCUCCUAUCAAAGCCAAAUCAUAUAGAAAUAUAUAUAAUUUGCAUCCUAUACCUAAAUACAAAGAUGUUAUUUGAUUUGACUAAAAAAUGAUAAAGUUGUCACAUUUCCUUGCUAGGCUUAGUGGUAAUCCUAUAUAGUUGGAUUACGUCAAAGAUCUAUUAGCAUUUUCAUUCUUCAUCAAAGUGUGGUUUUAUUCUCUCUAUAUAUUGAGGUUCACUUGAUUUUUCUAGAGUGAAAGCCUUUCUCUAUAUAUCUAAGGCAAACAAGUUAUAUCUUUUUUAUAGAAUUUCUUCUUAAUAUUGUCCAAAGACAUUCUUGAAUCAAUAUUUUUAGGGAAAUGCUGAUUAUAGAUCAGUGUAAAUUAGUGAUACAAUCUAUGUAAUGCUAGAAGUGGGUGAUAAGAGAAGGGUUUUAUUUUGCAGAGCUUGAAGAUGUCAUUUAUGUGUUUAAAGAGAGAAGUAAGGUUAAGGUUUAUCCUCUUUUUUAGAAAUCUUUGGUUUCUUCAGAUAAGGAUUGGGAGCUUUUUAAAUAAAAUGAAAGGAUAGGAUGUUAAUUGAUUGAAUUGAUAAAUUAACUAUAAAUCAAAAUUAUAGUUAUUGUAACGGUAAUAUCAUGCCAAAAAGCUAGAAAACAUUUUAUUUUGAAAUUUCUUAAAUGUCUAACAUGUUAGACAAUGAAAUAUGGUGGAUAUUUUGGAAAAACAAUUCUUGAUUUUCCAUGUCAUUCAUGGUUAAUUUUAUGAUUGAUUGAAAUAUAAAAGGUAAAUCAAUAUUCUUUCAUUUAUAUUAAAUAAAGAAAUAUGGAUGCAUUAUUUAUGUCAAAGUUAAACCAUUCAUGUAUCAUGUGAUUAAGAACAAUAUAAUUUAUUGUUAGUUUUUAAGAAAAAUAACGAAGAAAAAUAAAAUUAAAUAUCAACCAAUAAAGAAGGUUAAGUUCGAAAAUCAUCUAAGAGAUUAAGUUUCACAUUAAGUGAUUGAUUAAUCCUAUAUAAAAAAGAACUUAACUUAUGGAUAUUAUAAAUUGAUAUAAGCAUAUGUUAUUAUAAAGAUGUCUGCCAGAAAAAUAGUAAAUAAGUGCAAGUUAUGCUAGGAUUAAUAUUGUACAAUCUUUAUAUGUUAUAAAUUGUUUGUUUAAGAUUAAGAUUUUAUAUUUAUGUGAGAUUUUAUCUCAAUAAAAAUAUAAAUAUAUCAUUUAAUAGCUUAAAAUAAUGGUUAGUGUUAUAUACAUAAUUUAUUAUGCAAUUUACUCAUAAUUUUAUGCUAUUUAUUGCUUUCUUUUAUGUAUGACAAUAUAUUUCUUUUCCUUAUACAUUUUACUAGUCAUAUUACACGUGCUUGAAUUCAGGUCGAAUCAAAAGUUAAUUUUUAACAUAAAUGAAUGUUCAAGCGUUUUAAGUGUGUUUUUUAGAAUAUACAAAUAGAAAAGACCAUAAACCAAAAGAAAAUGACCACACAUGCAAAGUUGCAAAUAUAAUCCACGGUGAACUAGAAGGAGGUGAGCAGUGGAGCACGUUAUAGUGAAAUCAUCGGAUCUUUUAGUAUUUCCUGCAAUUAUAAUUUACGAAUUCAAGAUAUAGUGAAAUCAAAGCUUGUUUUUCUUUUUCUUUUUUUUCUUAACAUAUUGAAGUCAAGUUACGAAUUCUUUGAUCAAGAUUAAGUGUCUAAUUAUAAUUUUUCGUUGUUGGAUAAUCAAUGAUCACUUUAUUUAUUAGAUCAACAAAUGAAAAUAAUUAAAUAAGGCAUUUAAAUGAGAAAAAAUGGAUUGACAUUACUCUUUAUUUAUUAAAUCAUAUACUUUACCAUCAAAGAAUAAUAAUAUCUUACAACCAUGAAACAGGCAGUCAAUUCACCAUUACAUCUUACGUGUCCUCUAAGGAAUUUGUUUUUUUCACAAUACGUAGGGAAUUAAGGAAGAAAAUGCCUACAAUGCUACAUCAAAAAGAAAGCUUCACAGCCGUCCAAUAAAUAAACACAAAUGAGAGGGGAAAGAACACAAAAGAUUAGCUUUGAACAGUCGUUCAACAAAAAGCUCCAAGGUGCUUCAUCUUUGACCAAAGAGAUUGGAAAUGACAGCACAUAAUGAUCUUGAAUAGAGUGAUCAUGUUAAAGUUUUAAAGCAGCAGAAGAAUGGUGAUGAGCAUAGCCAAAUUGGGCAGGAAGAUGCACGCACCAAUCUUGGGCAGCCCAUUUGGAGCUCCUGGUGGUACUGCUGUAGCUCCACCACCUGGAACUGGGGGGGGACUUGCUGUAUGAGAGGGCAAGGGUCCCUCCACAACAUCAGGUGCAGUUAACACUGGGUUUGGAGGCUCAGCUGGGGGCAAGGCAAAAGGUGAGAUUAGCUGCAUGAGACCGCCAGGCUGAGCAGGGCUCAUGUAAGAAGGUAAUUCCUUGCCCAAGCAUCGGUUCCCUGCAAUAAAAUGGAGCAAUGUGUUACUAAAUGGCAAACAGAUAUCACUACAUGUCUGGUGGAUAUAUUUAUUAUGGAAUUUCCAUAAAAUCUGAAAUGAGACUAACACAAAUAAUGGCAGUUAAAUAUACUCUCAAGUCAUAUUGUAUGAUCCUAACCUGAUUUCUACAUCUAACAUGUAAUAUGCGAAUCUAUUUUUCUCAGCCUAGUACAGCAUGAAAUUAAACUGACAUUUUCAUGAGAACAAGAUCAUCUAAGGAAUAAUUUGUCCAGAACAUACAACAUCGUCCAGGAUUCACUCUGUAUUGUUGCAUGUAAACUAGAAACAUCAGUGACUUACUCUUGUAUCUGGCAGAAGUCAGAGGGAAUUCUGUGAUAACACCGCUGAUGUUGGCUCCCAUGACGUAGGAGUUAAUUUCAACUGUUGAAUCUGAGAAGAAGUCCCAUGCCUGAGAUACAAACUCAUUGCUGAAAGUUUCCACAUAAACUGAGAGCCCAUGCGAUUGCAGCUUUGGCACAACAUUUGUAACACCACUGAGGAAUGAAGAACUUUCAGGAAAGACAGAAGCCUUGCUGAUGACCACCGAACUAGCAAAGUCUUUGAUGUCCUUCAGUGCUGCAUCUUCAGCAUCUUGAAUAUCCUCUUCAAUCCGGUACACAAGCUCAUAAUUGCUUUCGUCCCUAAAUUUCAUUAGAACUGAGCUGUUGGUGGACUCAAUCAUAACUUUCUUGGAAGUUGGAUCAUCAUAACCAGCUAAGCUCAAGACUUCAAGUACUUUGUCAGUAACGGGUAAUCCCUCUUUCUCUAUAAGAUAGGCUGCAUUCUGAAAUGAACAGAACAGACAACAAACAUCAGUCAGGGUGGGAACAACCUUCAUUUUUUCAAUGUGGACAAAAAUAAUAAUCACAUAUUCUUCUUCUUUUUGGCUGCUGUUGAAGACCUUAUUCUAUUAUUCUAUGAGAGAAAUCCUCAGGCGUGCAAUUAUAGCUCAAAGGUCUGUACUAAGCAUGUGAGCUACUCAUGAGACUAGAAGGAUGGCAGGAAGUUACGCCAAAGGAUGCGGUUAAUACAACCACAGGAACCAAUGUCAUCUUUAUUGCUACUAAAGAAAUGAAAAUGCAGAUUGCUAGCAGAUGAGAUAACUGAUAUGAGCAACCAUUGAAUAUGAUGGUCCAUUAAGUUUCAUCACCCAUGGAAACUAACACCACGUGUGAAAUGGUUUCCAAGUUGGGGAAGAAACAUAGAAGAGAUAAUAUGUUCCACUGACAGAACUAACCAAUUAAGCACUGCUUUGUUUACUAAUAAGGUGUAGUGUGAUGAUAAAUUUGAUUUUGAUAACAUGCUUUCCAUCCAACAGGAAAAAUGUAAAAUUUCCACAAACAAUCAAAGGAAUAUUAAGUGCAAGCAGUUUAUGCAAGUUCAAAUCAGAUGAUUCAAACGAAGGAUCAUGUACAAGUAAUGUGAGCUUAGCAAAAACCCACCUCAAUGCUAAUCAAGACACCAGAAAGCGAGCUAGUGUUCUUCGCCAAUGCUAAGAAAUCAGACAAUGUUAGAAAAUUCCCUGAAUUUCUGAAUUUGGGAUUCCGCAACAAGUAAUAUUUUGAAUAUGGAUUGGACAUCACCGCUACAAUGCAAAAAGAAAAAGAUCAAUACAAAAUCAUUAUCUUCAAUGAAAACAUUUGGACAAUCAUACAUCCACAAAUAAACAUAAAAUGGAAUUCAAACAACAACUAGAUUACAAAGCAGAAUUUAGAGUUGGGCAGGAGUCAAAAAAAAAAAGUGCAGAGGAAUAUUUCUGUUCCUUUUCUCACAAAAUUCUACCUUUCAAAAUGUAAAGAGAGCAAAAUCAAAAGAAUGGUGCCAGGCAAAGGACAUUUGCGUUUAGUAUUGUUCCAAGAAUUGUAAUCUCUGUAAUUCUUUUCAUGUAUUUAUUCUCAAAUCUCAAGUGGUGAGAAUAGCUGGUUAUGAGAUCUUGUCUUGUGACUCCCACGACCAAGACAUUAUUCCUUUGAGCCCUAGAUGGAUGUGUUUUUUUGGCUGGCCACUCUUUAUUUCUCUUCCUCAAUGUCCUAAAUUAUUUUAACUUUGCGAUCCAGUACUGAGCAUUCUAUUUUAACAGAAUGUGAGGAUUGAGUAAUGCCCCUCCACGUAAUUGUUUGUUCAUAGGCCAAGAUUUUUUCCCCCACUAAAAGGAAAAAAAAUUUAUAAAAAAAAUCAUGUUUUAUUGGGAAGGGGGUGCAACAGAAGAUUGAAAAAGCAAAAGAAGUAAAAGCCAACCAGUUUGAACUUACGAAUUAAGUUCUGAAUCUCACUCCAUGUUAAGCUAAAGGUGAAUAUCCCACUGCCUGCCUUAAUCUGUGGAAUAUUCUGUUCACGAUUGCUGUAAAUUGAUUGGGCAACUGUUGUACUGUCAUAAAGAUUUAUAGAGCCUAAGCAAAAUGGUAUCCCGUCUUUUGAUAUUUGAACAGGACAAUCAAUAACAUCAGCACCAUCUAAAAUAGCUUUCUGGUAAGCCAAAUCAGUGCAACCAGGGUAGUCUCCACUUGCACCAUUUUUUGAGAUGACCGAAAGGUUCACUGAAACAUGAGAAAAGGAGGACAGAAGAGCUAAGUACUAAUGUUCAAAAAAUGCAAUAUCCUUUGAAGUUAAAUCUCAUAUAAAAAGAAUCAGAAAAUAAUUUUGCACCUUGAGGUGUAGCAUUCUUGCCUAGACCAGAAAAACAAGCUGCAAUACAGAAGGAGAAAUCAGAAUCUCAAAAUAUUUAUUCUCCAUAUUAGGAGAAAUAUCCAGACAGGCAUUAUAAUCUUUAACUCCAACCGAAAGAUUACAGCUAGGAUAAGAAGAGAAAUUGUCUCAAUGGUUCUGAGUCAAUGAUAACAGCAGUCACAGUACUAAACCUUUUAAGUUCGAACAAAAUUUGAAUCAUGCAGUGAUAAGGAAUCAAGUAUCAAGCAUGUUCUGACAUGAGAAGCUAGUAGUAGCAACAGUUGAAAGUUGAUGGUAGGCAGGCUAACAACUGCUCCCAUAAAGAAAUUACUGCUAAAUGUCCAGUUAUUUAAGUUGAAAAAUACUAGAUUGAACCAAUAGUUCACGGUUUGUUCAGAUCCAUGAUGCUUAAAGAGAAGGAUUACAGCUUACCAAUAGUCGCAGAUGGAGUUACUGGAAAGUCAGAGAGCACACCAUCAACAGAGAAGUCACCAUUGUCAACAAAACUGAGAUACUCAGUUACAGGAUCAUAACUGUAAUUGUAACUCAGUUGGGCGUCAUUAUAAAAAUCUGAUACAAAAACCUCUAGCCCUGCCUUGUGUGCAUCCGAGACGAUAGAAGUCUGAGGUUGUAAGUAAUUACUUGCAUCUAAAGGCCAUAUGUAUGACUUAGGGAUAAGAAUUCCAGAUGCAAAUGUCUUGAUGAAAGUAAAGUUCUUUGAGAGAGAACCAUAUGUCUCAUUUGUUGAUGGCUCGAUGACAUUUGGUUCCAGAAACCGAAAGACCAGUUUUGUUAUAUUUAGGUUAAAUCUCUUAACAAUACUUCUCAAGAAACCCGCUUCUGGUGAUGAAAGAUGAUUAAUGACAACCCUUCUGGAUAGAGACAGUACGUAGAUUCUCAUACUCAAAUUGUGCUGUGUGAAGAAUGCAUCAUGCUGCAAAAGUAUCAGAACAAAACAAUUUGGUUGAAAUAAUAGAUGGGAGUGCAUGUUCCACUGAAUUAAAGGGAAGGGAAGAAAAGCAAAAGCAGUAAAGAAGGCUUCAUGUUAAUAAGUUCAUAGAAGGUACUGGUGUAAGAUUGCUUCUCUACCUGAAUAUUCAACCAUAAGCCUGGUGGUUUUAAGUUCGCCACAUCCUCAACAGUUUGGAUGGGAUAAGUGUUAUCAAACCUUUCACUCCGAGAAUAGAUUCCCUGAGCCACUGUCAAGGAAAAACAAUGUCAGAAUCAGAAGUUCAAGGCAGGAAUUGAGAAGUUAAGAAACAGUUGAUCCACACAGACUGGUAUGCUAAGAAAAUUUUCAUAGUCAAUCUCAUGAAGAUCAAUUUAGAUAAAAUCUCCUUCAGAGACUAAUGAGCAGGUCCCUAUCAGUAAAAUCUGAAGAUCAACAAUGGGAUAUCCAAAUCCAAAAACAAAACAACCCCCAAUUGGUUUUUUCUUCAAAUAUUUGAUUGAAGUAUCCUAUUUGCAAUAAAACUAUCAGUGUCUCUAAAUGACCUGAUGUUAUUAACUGUCUUUUAUGCUUGACCAUUACUAACUACCACUUAUACAUCAAGCAAACUUCACAAACAGAAGGACUAUAACAACAACAAUAAAUAAUAAGAAAGGAGAAUAAACAGCUUGUAUUUUUGUGUUAUUCUUAUGCAAAUAAGAGGGGUAAGGUCUUGAGUUUGACUCCCACCUUUGCAAUUCACUGCUAAUUUCAACAAAAAAUGAAAAGAAGGAAAUGGCAGUUGAUUCACUUGAUUCAUGCAAAUUUUUAGCAAUCAACAAUAAGAAAAUCUGGAUAUUUCAAAUGAUCACUUCAUGUAAUAAUAAUACUUUACAAGAAGUAUAGAAAUAAACAGGCUACCAAAAAAUGACCAAUAACCAUAUGAAGCAAGUUGUUGAAAUCUUAGCCGAACUCACAGAAUACAAGUGACAAUUCAUUAAGAGUGAAAUCCACUGUGAACCAUCCUCGGGUAGGAAUUCCAUUAACUAGGUACAACUUAUCCUUAUUUUUCAUAACUUGUGCAAUGCUAGUAGAAUUGUCAAGCCUGAGAUCAGGGGCACAAAUCCCCACACCAUCUUUAGUUAACUGCACAUCACACCAUAGGACAACAUCCGGCAAACUUGUAAGCGUUGCAAACUGGAAAGCAACUGAGCUAGAAUCAGGAAAUAAUCCUGAAAACCCGCCACGUGC
rnacentral:lncRNA from 1 species